AACGAACGCUGGCGGCAUGCCUAACACAUGCAAGUCGAACGCCCCGCAAGGGGAGUGGCGAACGGGUGAGUAACGCGUGGGAACCUACCCAGCAGUUGGGGAUAACCGCGGGAAACUGCGGCUAAUACCGAAUACGUCCUUAGGGAGAAAGAUUUAUCGCUGUUGGAGGGGUCCGCGUCGGAUUAGCUAGUUGGUGGGGUAAUGGCCUACCAAGGCGACGAUCCAUAGCUGGUCUGAGAGGAUGAUCAGCCACACUGGGACUGAGACACGGCCCAGACUCCUACGGGAGGCAGCAGUGGGGAAUAUUGGACAAUGGGCGCAAGCCUGAUCCAGCCAUGCCGCGUGAGUGAUGAAGGCCUUAGGGUUGUAAAGCUCUUUCAGUGGGGACGAUAAUGACGGUACCCACAGAAGAAGCCCCGGCUAACUUCGUGCCAGCCGCCGCGGUAA
rnacentral:rRNA from 1 species